UACGAAGGGUGCAAGCGUUACUCGGAAUUACUGGGCGUAAAGCGUGCGUAGGUGGUGAGUUAAGUCUGUCGUGAAAGCCCCCGGCUCAACUGGGGAGGGUCACGCGAUACUGAUCGACUCGAAGGCAGGAGAGGGUAGUGGAAUUCCCGGUGUAGUGGUGAAAUGCGUAGAUAUCGGGAGGAACACCAGUGGCGAAGGCGACUACCUGGCCUGUUCUUGACGCUGAGGCGCGAAAGCUAGGGGAGCAAACGGG
rnacentral:rRNA from 1 species